rnacentral:tRNA from 1 species
GCCUGGGUGGCUCAGUCGGUUAAGUGUCUGACUUCGGCUCAGGUCAUGAUCUUGCAGGUUGUGGGUUUGAGCCCCGCGUCGGGCU